rnacentral:rRNA from 1 species
UACAGGGGGUGCAAGCGUUGCUCGGAAUCACUGGGCGUAAAGCGUACGCAGGCGGACCGUUAAGUCGGGUGUGAAAGCCCGGGGCUCAACCCCGGAAUUGCAUUCGAUACUGGCGGUCUUGAGUACGGGAGAGGUGAGUGGAAUUCCUGGUGUAGAGGUGAAAUUCGUAGAUAUCAGGAGGAACACCGGUGGCGAAGGCGGUUCUCUGGGCCUGUACUGACGCUGAGGAACGAAAGCGUGGGGAGCGAACAGG